rnacentral:tRNA from 1 species
GGGGCCAUAGCUCAGCUGGGAGAGCGCCUGCUUUGCAAGCAGGAGGUCACGGGUUCGAAUCCCGUUGGCUCCA